rnacentral:rRNA from 1 species
UACAGAGGCCCCAAGCGUUAGGCGGAAUCACUGGGCUUAAAGCGUGUGUAGGCGGACGCCUAAGUGUCUUGUGAAAUCCCACGGCUCACCCGUGGAACUGCUGGGCAUACUGGGCGUCUUGGGCCAACUAGGGGCAGCCGGAACAAGCGGUGGAGCGGUGAAAUGCGUAGAUAUCAGUCGGAACACCGGUGGCGAAGGCGGCUUCUUGGGCCGUUCCUGACGCUGAUGCGCGAAAGCUGGGGGAGCGAACGGG